AACUGCCAAUAUGUUUAAGAUGGGGUGAUUUAUCACCAAGGCUACAUAAAAUGCAAUCCCCCAAACAUCAGCCAUGCCCUUGGAAAAAUAGCUAAAACUUGAAGUUUCUGAAGCUGGCUACAUGAUUCUACUUGGGAGAAGAGGACCCUGAAAGCCAAGGGUCCCUGGCACUCAGAGAGUGGUCCAGAAGGAGGUGUGGCACAGAUUCCAGGUGGACACAUUCCCAUGGUAUGGCGACAAAUUGAUGAGGAUGGUGGGAACAGGAGGUUAAGAGAACAAUCCCAUACAAUGAGCCCACUGGACUGACUCCCCACAUGCUUUCUUUGCCAAAAAUUAAUCUGCCUGAAACCCUGCCUGUCACAUUCCUCAAUAAACUGAGGCAGUCAAUAUAGACAAUGAAUGACGGUGGUCCAGAGAGGAUUAUGGCUGGUGGUGAGUGGGUUACUAACAGCUAACCUCUGGGAUCACACUUCCCAGCUCUGUGGUUGCUAACACCUCCAGGGACAGCACUUUUAAACACAAGCCAUUACCCCUGUGCUGCUCCUUGUUGCUGCCGUUAGGCACAUGUUCUUAAGAGAAGAAAGAGAAGGUGGGGAAUUCUGAGGGUCUAUAAAAAAGCAAGACACCCACUCCCAUGGGCACCCAGCCCUGGGCCCCCUUCUCUGUGGAGAAGUUUUCUACUUCUGUUCCUCAUUUUUUUGUUUGUUUGUCCCUGUAUUCAAUAAAACUUACCUUCUA